GGUACGGGGGGCAAGCGUUGUUCGGAAUUACUGGGCGUAAAGGGCUCGUAGGCGGCCAACUAAGUCCGACGUGAAAUCCCCAGGCUUAACCUGGGAACUGCGUCGGAUACUGGAUGGCUUGAAUUCGGGAGAGGGAUGCAGAAUUCCAGGUGUAGCGGUGAAAUGCGUAGAUAUCGAGAGGAACACCUGCGGCGAAGGCGGGUUGCUGGGCUGAUACUGACGCUGAGGCGCGAAAGCCAGGGGAGCGAACGGG
rnacentral:rRNA from 1 species